UACGUAGGUGGCAAGCGUUGUCCGGAAUUACUGGGCGUAAGGGGCGUGUAGGCGGCCUUUUAAGUCAGACGUGAAAUCCAUGGGCUUAACCCAUGAAUUGCGUUUGAAACUGGAGGGCUUGAGGAUCGGAGAGGGCAGUGGAAUUCCCAGUGUAGCGGUGAAAUGCGUAGAUAUUGGGAGGAACACCAGUGGCGAAGGCGACUGCCUGGACGACACCUGACGCUGAGGCGCGAAAGCUAGGGGAGCAAACGGG
rnacentral:rRNA from 1 species